GCCUGGGUGGCUCAGUCGGCUGAGCGUCCGACUUCAGCUCAGGUCAUGUUCUUGCGGUUUGUGGGUUCGAGCCCCUCAUUAGGCU
rnacentral:tRNA from 1 species